rnacentral:rRNA from 1 species
AACGUUAAUCGACGCAGGGUUAGUCGGUCCCUAAGGCGAGGCUGAAAAGCGUAGUCGAUGGAAAACAGGUUAAUAUUCCUGUACUUCUGGUUAUUGCGAUGGAGGGACGGAGAAGGCUAGGCCAGCUUGGCGUUGGUUGUCCAAGUUUAAGGUGGUAGGCUGGAAUCUUAGGUAAAUCCGGGAUUCUAAGGCCGAGAGCUGAUGACGAGUGUUCUUUUAGAACACGAAGUGGUUGAUGCCAUGCUUCCAAGAAAAGCUUCUAAGCUUCAGGUAACCAGGAACCGUACCCCAAACCGACACAGGUGGUUGGGUAGAGAAUACCAAGGCGCUUGAGAGAACUUGGGUGAAGGAACUAGGCAAAAUGGCACCGUAACUUCGGGAGAAGGUGCGCCGGUGAGGGUGAAGCAUUUACUGCGUAAGCCCAUGCCGGUCGAAGAUACCAGGCCGCUGCGACUGUUUAUUAAAAACACAGCACUCUGCAAACACGAAAGUGGACGUAUAGGGUGUGACGCCUGCCCGGUGCCGGAAGGUUAAUUGAUGGGGUUAGCUAACGCGAAGCUCUUGAUCGAAGCCCCGGUAAACGGCGGCCGUAACCAUAACGGUCCUAAGGUAGCGAAAUUCCUUGUCGGGUAAGUUCCGACCUGCACGAAUGGCGUAACGAUGGCGGCGCUGUCUCCACCCGAGACUCAGUGAAAUUGAAAUCGCUGUGAAGAUGCAGUGUAUCCGCGGCUAGACGGAAAGACCCCGUGAACCUUUACUAUAGCUUCGCACUGGACUUUGAAUUUGCUUGUGUAGGAUAGGUGGGAGGCUUUGAAGCGUGGACGCCAGUUCGCGUGGAGCCAACCUUGAAAUACCACCCUGGCAACUUUGAGGUUCUAACUCAGGUCCGUUAUCCGGAUCGAGGACAGUGUAUGGUGGGUAGUUUGACUGGGGCGGUCUCCUCCUAAAGAGUAACGGAGGAGUACGAAGGUGCGCUCAGACCGGUCGGAAAUCGGUCGUAGAGUAUAAAGGCAAAAGCGCGCUUGACUGCGAGACAGACACGUCGAGCAGGUACGAAAGUAGGUCUUAGUGAUCCGGUGGUUCUGUAUGGAAGGGCCAUCGCUCAACGGAUAAAAGGUACUCCGGGGAUAACAGGCUGAUACCGCCCAAGAGUUCAUAUCGACGGCGGUGUUUGGCACCUCGAUGUCGGCUCAUCACAUCCUGGGGCUGAAGCCGGUCCCAAGGGUAUGGCUGUUCGCCAUUUAAAGUGGUACGCGAGCUGGGUUUAGAACGUCGUGAGACAGUUCGGUCCCUAUCUGCCGUGGACGUUUGAGAUUUGAGAGGGGCUGCUCCUAGUACGAGAGGACCGGAGUGGACGAACCUCUGGUGUUCCGGUUGUCACGCCAGUGGCAUUGCCGGGUAGCUAUGUUCGGAAUAGAUAACCGCUGAAAGCAUCUAAGCGGGAAACUAGCCUCAAGAUGAGAUCUCACUGGGACCUUGAGUCCCCUGAAGGGCCGUCGAAGACUACGACGUUGAUAGGUUGGGUGUGUAAGCGCUGUGAGGCGUUGAGCUAACCAAUACUAAUUGCCCGUGAGGCUUGAGC